UUCUAGUAAUUUCCCCAUUAGAAGGAGCUAGGUUCCGCUGCCUUUUAAGUUUAGGUUUUCACUCUCACCGUUUUGUGGUUUCCUGUGGAGAAGAGCAGCAGAUACUCAACAGCUUGCAGGCUCCGUUUUCUCAUCACCAUCAGCUGGAUGUUUCAGGAUGUUUGAUGAUGUGUGGGAGAAAACGCAGGUGGUGAAGUGUCUUCGCCGUCUCUCGUCAUCCUCUGUAGUAUUCCGGCGAUAUCAGACAUACUGAAAGACAGAAAGAUUGCUGAACAUACAUUCUUCAGUAAUUAGGAAAAAAGACAAAGAACGGAGAUAAUUUUCAGAAAUUAGUGAAAUGGAAGCUCAGUUCUUUCGGUUUCUAAAGAUAGUGGGAGUUGGUUUCAAAGCAAGAGCUGAAUCUGAAGGGCGUCUUUUGUUUCUGAAAUUGGGUUACAGUCAUGAGGUGGAGUUGACAGUUCCUCCUGCAGUUCGUGUAUUUUGUUUCAAGCCCAAUAUCGUGUGUUGCACUGGCAUCGACAAGCAAAGGGUGCACCAGUUUGCUGCUGCUGUUCGCAGUUGUAAGCCCCCUGAAGUUUACAAAGGGAAAGGUAUUAUGUAUGUUGAUGAAGUUAUAAAGAAGAAACAGGGAAAGAAAUCAAAAUAGUUUUAAUGAUGGAAGUGAAACCCUGGAGAUCGGCAGUGUUAGUUUCUGUGAUUGAAACAUUAUACUUUGUCCUUAAAUUGUUGAAUAAUUUAUGAUUUGAUACAUUCAAUCGUAGUGCAGUGAGAGUUAUAGCCUACAUUUUGAUUUUGACCAUUGUAUCCUGCUAAAGAUUGAUACCCAUGGAUAUGGGUGGAACUUAUUGUGACCAUAAUCGUUGCUUAGAUAAAAAAAUGAAUUUAGUCCAUUUUUUUUUUUUGUUUUUUUCUUUGACAAAAUUGCAAGAAUGGUCCCUAUGGUUCCGUUGAAAUUGUCAUUUUGGGCCAAACAAGUUUUGACUAGCCUUUAUGGUCCAAAACCUUUUUAUUUUCUUGUCAUUUUGACCCUAUUUAUUUUAAAAUUUUUUAUAACGAUGAUUUUCCAUUGGUUUUUCUUUUUCAAUUUUUAUUUAUUUAUUUAUAUACUUCAAUAAUUAAAAUAAAGGAAAAAAGAAAAUACAUCUCUCUCUUUCUCUCUCCCUAGAUGCUAAAUUUAUGUUUACUACAGUAACACUGUUGAAGUUAAGUUAUUCGAAUUUGUUUAAUUGUUUAAAUCUUUUUUUUAAAUGAAGAAAUUGUAACAUCUACAACAACAAACUGUAAAAAGCCCAAAUUCUUUUAUAUAUAUAUAUAUUAAAGGAGGAUACUUUUUAGGAAUAGUAAACUUAUCUGAUCUUUGGCAAAAAUGGCCCUUGUAUAUAUUAUUUCUGUCUUUUUUGGAUCUGGGUGUUUUAUGGAAAUAUUUACUUUCUUGUGUACACGUGUUGAUCAUCGUUUGGUUUAUCCGCUUCCAGAUCCUUCCCACCGCCUCAAAUAUCUUUGGUCAACGUUAUUUCUCUUUUCUUCCACAAAUCUCCCAUCGCUUUUUCGCCCCUGCUGUUUUUGCGUGGACCGAUUAUUAGUGGCGAGCAACUCGACAUCGAGGGGAUCGCGGUGCCUAAAGAAGUUGUCGUGUUCGUCGCCAGUGCAGUCGCUGGUGCCGCCGCAAAGCGCUUCAGAGAGCUGCGUUCACCCACCAGAAAAGCGCUUCAGAGAGCUGUGUUUUACUUCAAAGAACCGAUUCGGUGUCUGCUCAUCGGAUCUACUCGGAGCUUUCACACAUGUAACUCGUAUGAAAUUGUACAAGUGAUUACAGCGUACAAGACGUCCUACAUCGUCUCGCCGAUUCUGGUGUUCUCCAGCUUCACCGCCAAUCAGGCAAUCCUUGAUGCCUUCAUAAUGUAGAUUAUUCACAUUCGUUUGGUGUUGGGGUAUUCAUAUAGUAACAAUAUUGAUUUUCCUCAUGAAUCUGCAAAUUGCACAAUUAGGUGCUGACUAGCACCUAUGAAAGUUACAAAAAGCUAUAGAACAUGAAAACGGGCACGAUGAUAGCGUUUUCUUUGAUGGAUGAACAAUGGAGGAAAAGUUUUCUUAUUACAAGCUUUUUUGAAAUAGUAUGCAGUAUGCACAUGAUUAGAUAUAUCGAUAAUCACACAAUAAAAAAACACUAUAUGAUCUACAUUUAAUAAAUCAACCAUUUUUUUGUACAAAUAUCACAAAAUAACCACCUAUUUUGCAACAGGUCAGUUGCAAAAUUAUUUUUUACAGACUAUAUUUUUUCAAAAUUGCAUCAUAUUUUUGCAAAAUAUUUUAAAACAAAAUUAUAAUACUAUAAGUUUGCAGAUAAUGCGGUUCCAAAACUAUUAUUUCCCUUUUUGCUAAUAAUGGAUUGGAUUGUGAAUUUGCAAAUAUUGCUUACUUUAAUGGUGAGAGAAUUGCAUUCCAGGUGAUCCGGUUACUACAAAUGCAAAUGUUUUAUUCUUUACAACAUUUUGAGUCACUUACAAGGCACAAUACCACCUGAAUAGGGUUCAACACAAUUACAAGUCAUGUGAAAUACGCACUAUGUAAUAUCAUUACUCUCACAAAGUUGUAAGUUGUUACCUGAUUUUCUUUCUCCACUAAGGGCAAUUUGGACAUUUUACUAAACGAUUAAUGUAUUUCAACUUAUAGAUUAAGGACCUCGGGAGCAUACACACAGUAGACUGAAUAAAACGUCUGAACGAGACUAAAUGACCAUUUUACUCUUGCAUUUAUAAAAAAACAAAUUUCACAUAUGUCAGAGGAGUUAGGAAAAAAAAGGUCAAAUAUCCAUCUAUGAAUGAAAAUCACUAAUUCUUUUUUCCCUAAUAAAUGCAGGUGAAUACUAACUUGGUUUUAGUUGGCAAUGCACAAAAAUAAGUUUUGGCAAUUCAUUCAUAUCCUUCACUGCUUCUUUAUUUCUUUAAAUUAAUUUAUUAUUAUUUUUUUUUACUUUUUUUUACUGUUUCAACUGUUCAAUUUUAGCAGGGAAGAUUAAUAAGUAAAAUAGUUGUGGGAUGUGAGGUUACCACUCUGUAUUCAAUACUUAUUUUUUUUUUUUACUUUUUUUUAUUAUUUCAGAUAUUAAAUUUUUUUUUACUCUUUGUCGCUCACACUAAUGUUAAACUUCUAAUUUUGUUUAUUGGUUAAUUUUACAUGUCUCAUAGGCUGGUCCAGCCACAAUUGCAGACGCCAUGAUCCGAGGUCUCCCCAUCAUUCUAAACGAUUACAUUGCUGACCAGGAAGUUGGAAAUGUACCCUAUGCAGUGGAAAAUGGAUAUGGGAAAUUUACAACGUCACCAAAAGAGAUUGCAGAAAUUGUUGGUGAAUGGUUUGGUCCUAAAGUACAUGAACUCAAGACUAUGAUAGGGCUUGAUCUGAAUUUAAACUAUCAAACAUCAGUCACAAACAUCGAAUAUUAAAACACAACAUAAAUUCAAUCUGGGCACAUAUUCGUUUCUUUCUGAGAAAUUUUUUUAAGAAGACUCAAAAAGGAUAGAAGAACAAGAGGACAACAUGAGCAAUGGUACACAAAAAUUAGCCGGAAAAAGAAAUUAAUAGAUAAAAGCAGAUGAAAAGUCAACAUACCCACAGUGUGUAAAGAAGGUUAAUUUUCGGUGUCGUUUUCGUGUUAUGCUCUGAUUUUUUCUAUGUUUUCAAAUGAUUCCUUAUUUAAUCAUUAUACUUAAAUUCUGAAUACGUGUUUUUGUUUGUCCGUGUAGCUGUAAGAAUCCAACAUAUGUGUUUUAAAAAGAGAAUAGAUCUCAGUUUACUUCUACUUUAUUUCAAUUUUAGGCAUCAUACUUUCAUAGUCAACCAACUAUAACAUCCUACUUCCAUCACGAACAACUGAUAAACGAUGAUACCAUCUUUUAUAUAAUGUGUUCAGUCGGUUUUCUUUGAUAUUAGCGGCGAAUCUGACCCCCGCAAAGCGGGGGUUCCUAUCUAAUUAAAUUAUUAUAUUGGGAUAAUGACUUGAUAGGGUAAGAUACUUUUUGAAAUGUACAUAUUUAGUCCUUAUUCUUUUUUUCUUGUAAAAUAAACCCUUAUAUUUUAUUUUUUGUAACAAUGCAGUCCUUGUGACCGGCUAUACCCGGUAUACCGGUCAUAUACGAAUUUUCUUUUAGGGAAAAUGACUUGAUAGGGUCUUUUUCACCAGAUUCUACAGGUUUUGCUGAUGUGGAAGCACAAGUGGCACUAAAUAGCAAUUAAUUAGCUUGUCACCGGAGGUGGGUGAUCCUCCAGCAACAAGAAAAGGGUGGCGACCCUUCUCUUUCUUGUCUCUCUUCCUCUCGGUCGAACAACAACAGCCAAACACCCUUUACCUGUUGUGUUUCUCCGAUCUGUCUCUCUUUGCCUCCAUCUUUGAGAUAUGUUGCCAGAAAAAGAAGAAAGAAUCGACGAGGGGGCUACCAGAGCAGCUCCUCGCCGCCAACUACCGUCUCUACUGCCUCUUGCCUCACCCUUCGACCUUGUUGUUUUUGCCAUCAUUCCUCCUUGCUACCAGUGAUGUGUAGGAACACACAAAGGAGUCGUUGGAGAUCUGGGUUCUCCCUCUUUUUCAUGAUGAACAAAAAUUGGAAAAAUCUCGUUGUAAAUAUAUGGAUGCCACCUAGGUAUUUCAUUUCAACAAAAUAAAAGAAAUGGAAAAUGACUUGAUAGGGUAA